UAAAUAGCUUUGAUUAGGAGUAUUAGUAUUUAUAUCAUUUUUUAGAGAGCUGCUGUUAGCUGCAAAGCAGUAAUGAUAAAAUAUGAACUUACCUAUAGACUUACAUCGUAAGUAAAAGCCUACUUGUAAAAACAAGUACGGUUAAAACCGUUAUAUUUGCAAGUGAGGUUUAAAACCUAACUAGAGUGGUACCGCGGAAUAUUACUUUCGUCUCUUUU
rnacentral:ncRNA from 1 species